rnacentral:rRNA from 1 species
CAGUAGCCGCGGUAAUACGGAGGGUGCGAGCGUUAAUCGGAAUUACUGGGCGUAAAGCGUACGCAGGCGGUUUGUUAAGUCAGAUGUGAAAUCCCCGAGCUUAACUCGGGAACUGCAUUUGAAACUGGCAGGCUAGAGUCUCGUAGAGGGGGGUAGAAUUCCAGGUGUAGCGGUGAAAUGCGUAGAGAUCUGGAGGAACAUCAGUGGCGAAGGCGGCCAUCUGGGACAACACUGACGCUGAGGCACGAAAGCGUGGGGAGCAAACAGGAUUAGAUACCCCAGUAGUCCCUGUCUCUUAUAC